rnacentral:tRNA from 1 species
GUAGCUCAGCGGUGUAGAGUGCAUGCCUUGCAAGCAUGAGGCCCUGGGUUCGAUUCCUCAGC